rnacentral:misc_RNA from 1 species
GUAACAUUUGGCAGCAAAAUACCCCCAUCUGGGUGCAAAAGAUCCACACGAUUUUCCUCAUCAAGAUGAACUAAACGAGACCCUGGAGCCCCUUUACAAUACAAAAGCCUAAUAUCCGAAGUGACAUCAAAUCCCCUACCCAGAGCUUGGAUUGAGUUGCUGAGAGUAGUAAUUAAAGCAUCUGAGGCAAAACUCUUCUUGGGGUUUGAAUCCUCCAUACAAAGAUUGUUUAUUGGCAACAAACACAGCAGAGUAGUAUUGAUGACAACUUGUUCUUCAUCCCAAUUCCAAAAAUUAUCAAUAAAGAUUGAAACUUUAUGCUUUGUUUUGGUUCAAUGGAUAGUAAUCUCUAGUUUUCUUUGGUGUUUUUGUUGAAAUUGUUUGUUUU